rnacentral:lncRNA from 1 species
CACGUCCGGUCGUCCUUCGUUUGGCAGUGGAGGAGUGGGAAGGUAUGAGAGCGCUCUUUAGGGUAAAGGUCCGAGGUGACAGAGACCUGACCCAGCAUCGGGCCCAGGGGACCACCUGUCCCGCACCCAUCUCUGACAUCUCUCCAGACUCCCUGGGCCCCGGGGUCACCGUCCCUGCUGAGGGAGUGGGUGGGUUGGGGGCAGGGCAGAGGCUGGCUCACGGGGACACUUGUGUGGCCCCGGCCGUGAGGGUCGACUUCGCAGGGCGCAGCUGACUGGAGACGAGGGGGUCGAGGACAUGGGCACGAAUGUGCCUUGGCCCAGGUGUGAGAACAUGUACGGAAGGCUCGGCCUCUGGGUGACUCAGUCUGCAAGCAAACUAUGCAAGGGAAGUGACUCACUGUCAACCCUGCGCGAGAACUCCUGAGGCCAGGCCGCCAGCACCUGUCUGGGACGGGGUUAGUUAUUAACGCUGCCAGGAAGACUGUCAUGGGAACCGGACACCGGCCAAGAUUGGGCUUCCCAGAGCCUGCGGAGCCUCUCGCUCACCUUCCGAGGGCUCCUCUCCUCUCCUCUGAACCCCGAAGGCAGAGGAGCCCACGCAGCUCUGGGUUGUACCACGUGUCCCCGGGCCCUCUGAAGAUGACACACAUUCCACCCAGGACGAGGAAGGGGACCGAGAAGUGGUUUGGCCAGGAAGAGUACACACAUACAUAAGGGCUUCUCCUUCUGGAUCCCAAAAGGCAGGCUUCGCCACUCUUGGGAGAGGCCCAGUCCAGACACAGGUCAGGCCUGCCCCCGCCGGCCCCUGCCCUUCCACGUGCAGCCGUCGAGCAGAAGGAGGACGAGGGAUGGACCAGGAAGAGUGGGAGUUUUAGGGAGUCAGGCUUCCCAAGGUCCCCAAAAAAGCAGCCCAGCGCCCGAAGGGAAGAGCCGCCCCCGGUAUUUGUUGUCUCCCGUGGAAGGCCCUAAAGCGCUCGGGAGCCACUCAGGGGGGCGGUGGGGAUGCCACCUGCCUGCCUGGGCUACGGACGGAGGGCACUGGGCUCCUGGCCGGGACACACGCUCCCUGGGUGGCCCUGAGCAAGUCAUCCAGCACUCAGGCGGUUUCCCCAUCUGUAAAGUGGGAAGAAUAACAUCACUUGUCCUGCUCCCCUGACAGGGUCUGUGUGAGGCCAGCUGAGAUCACUGAGCACUGUGGCGAGGCUUCGGGAGUGGCCAAGGGCCACCCAGAUCGGGGAUGAGGCACUGUGCAGGGUUUGUGGUCUGUGCUCCCCGGGAGGGUGGCUUUCCAGACACCCACCUGUGGCCUAAGAGAUCCUUGGAC